rnacentral:rRNA from 1 species
CCUACGGGAGGCAGCAGUGAGGAAUAUUGGUCAAUGGGCGGGAGCCUGAACCAGCCAAGUCGCGUGAGGGAAGACGGUCCUAUGGAUUGUAAACCUCUUUAGGCGGGGAGCAAUGCCGGGCACGCGUGCCCGGAGGGAGAGUACCCGCAGAAUAAGCAUCGGCUAACUCCGUGCCAGCAGCCGCGGUAAUACGGAGGAUGCGAGCGUUAUCCGGAUGUAUUGGGUUUAAAGGGUGCGUAGGCGGAUUUGUAAGUCAGCGGUAAAAUGUCCGGGCUCAACCCGGGCCGGCCGUUGAAACUGGGGAUCUUGAGUGGGCGAGAAGUAUGCGGAAUGCGUGGUGUAGCGGUGAAAUGCAUAGAUAUCACGCAGAACUCCGAUUGCGAAGGCAGCAUACCGGCGCCCGACUGACGCUGAGGCACGAAAGCGUGGGGAUCGAACAGGAUUAGAUACCCCAGUAGUC